AUGAAAGGACAACACCAAGGUGUUCAGAGUCGCUUCCUUAAAGAAAACCCCAAAGCAUUGUAUAUGCCAUGUGCAUGUCAUAGUUUGAAUCUCACUCUUUGUGAUAUGGCAAAAUCUUGCAAACAGGCUAUUACAUUCUUUGGUAUUAUACAACGGAUAUACGUGUUGUUUUCACGUUCUACUAAAAGGUGGAAGAUCUUACUUGACAAUCUCCCAAAAGAAACAAAACUAACUCUCAAGCCUUUGUCCAGUACUUGUUGGGAGAGUCGAAUAAAGAGUGUGCAGCCUAUCAAGUACCAAGCUAUCCAUGUAAUUUCAGCUUUGAAGGAAUUGGAGGAGACUUCUACUGAUGACCCAGCAGCUGUAAGUGAUGCUCAAUCUUUGGUCAGUGCACUUGAGAAUUUUGAAACUUUAGUUGGCAUGGUUAUCUGGCAUGAUGUUUUGUUCUCUGUAAAUAUGGUGAGCCAAAAGUUGCAGGAAAAGAUGGUGUGCAUUGAUGCUACUAUAAAACACAUUGACGGGGUCAUAUUAUAUUUUAAGAAGUAUAGAGAUGAAGGCUUUCAAGCUAGUAUUGAGAUAGCAAAAGCCAUUGCAUCUGAUAUGGACAUAGAGCCAGAAUUUCCUUCAAAACGUCAACAGAAAAGAAAGAGGCAUCAUGAUGAAAUCAAUGAUCAAGAAGAAGAAAUACAAUUGUCAGCUAUGGAAUCCUUCAGAGUUAAUUACUUUCUAGUCAUUGUUGACAAUGCAAUUCUUUCAUUGACCAGCCGCUUUGAUCAGUUGAAGAAAUUUGAAAAGAGUUAA
rnacentral:rRNA from 1 species